rnacentral:lncRNA from 1 species
GCCAUUAGCGUGAAACCCAUCAUUACACUUCAACAAACAAUAUUAAUCAUUACACUUCAACAAACAAUGUUAACAGAAGCUUAAUCAAUCAAGUUUAAACGAGGCAAUAUUAGAAAUAAACAAGACUAACAAAGAGUUGAUUUUCUUUCUUUUUUAAAAAAAAAAACAAAUUUGAAAGCUCAAAUUGAAGAAAACUUAGCACAAAUGGCUUCUUACUUGCUAAAAUCCAAAUAUCUGUGUUGUUUCAAGAGGAGAGAGCGAGAGCGAGGUGUAGGAGGAGAUGUUGCAGGAAAUCAGAUCCUAUUCCAAGGGAAAGAGCGGCAGGUAGUGAACCGAUAAAUUAUAAGAGCGAGGCGUAGGAGGAGAUGUUGCAGGAAAUCAGAUCCUAUUCCAAGGGAAAGAGCAGCAGGUAGUGAACCCAUAAAUUUUCCGGUCCAAAGUUGGACCGACCGCCGAUCAAGUUUGUAUUUUUUAUAAUUUAUAAUUUCGCUUAAAUUUUAUAUAUAUAUAUAUAUAUAUAUAUAUAUAUAUACACACUUUAAAUAUAUAAANNNNNNNNNUUCGCUUAAAUUUUAUAUAUAUAUAUAUAUAUAUAUAUAUAUAUAUAUAUAUAUACACACUUUAAACAUAUAAAGAAAUCACAAUCAAUUAUGUAGACUUAUUUUUGUAUGGGUCAAAAGCUGACUCAUAGUAAUUAAUGAGAUUAAUUCACUGUUAAGUAUAUUCGAGCUAACAAAUGGCACAACUAUUCGUUAAUAAUAAGCACUCGAAGAUCACUCAGUUUAAUCAAUGAGACCACGGCAUGUUCACUAUUGGCGGGCGUCCCCUCGACAUGACCACGGCCAUCCAACGCCAGCUGGCAAGGCGCACAGUUAUAAAUACUAAGAGAAAGAACCCUAAAAGGGGGCUGCUUCUUCUUCUUCAUUUUCCACUUCUUAAAGAAGUGAAUAUCAUUGUAAGGCUAUGAACCUCUCCAUUGAGAGGCAGAACAAAUCAAUAUCAUCAAUAAAAGAUCCCUACCCAUCUCUCCUUAACAAAUAACACUUGUCUUUCGCAUUUUCACUUGGUCUUCCGGUUUAUUACGAUCUGCUAUGAUCGGCCCUCAAUUUAAUUUCAUUGUUUUACGUUUGCAAAGUAUGUAAUGGCUUUGAGCUAAACAAUUUGGCGCCGUCUCUGGGGAUUUCAUAGAAGAAUCACGUAGCUCUUCCUCAGACACAAAAAAAAGAAAACACCCAAAAGGGAAAACAACCAAGCUCGAAUGAGCCAAAGUAGCACACCAAGUGAAAGGAACUCGAAAGCUCCGGCAAGAGUCCGAAGCCCUGACUUCCCCCCCCAGGGAGAACAUAGGCGAGAGACCCUCAAGAAGGCUACAUACAAAUCAGAUAAGAUCUCAAAUGAAAACCUAACCCCCCAAGAAAAUAGGUCAGGUAAGAAGGCAAAAGCUCACCUAUGAGUUGAAAUGGGACUUAGGCUAUGUGCCUCGGACACAAAAAUUACAAAGGUUCAACUACGGUUGAACAACAACUCAGGCUAUGUGCCUUCGCCCAAAAGUUCAACUAUGAGUUGAAAUAGGACUCAGGCUAUGUGCCUUCGACAUCAAAAAAUUACAAAGGUUCAACUACGGUUGAGCAACAGCUCAGGCUACGUGAUGUCGCCCAAAAGUUCAACUAUGAGUUGAACUGGGACUCAGGCUAUGUGCCUUCGACAACAAAAUUACAGAGGUUCAACUAUGAGUUGAACUGGGACACAGGCUAUGUGCCUUCGACAACAAGAAUUGCAAAGGUUCAACUCUUGUUGAACAAUAACUCAGGCUACGUGCCCUCGCCCAAAAGUUCAACUAUGAGUUGAACUAGGACUCAGCCUACGUGCCUUCGACAUUAAAAAAUUGCAAAGGUUCAACUAUGGUUGAACAACAGCUCAGGCUAUGUUCCUUUGCCCAAAAGUUCAACUAUGAGUUGAACUAGGACUCAGGCUAUGUGCCUUCAACAACAAGAAUUGCAAAGGUUCAACUACGGUUGAACAACAACACAGGCUACGUGCCCUCACCCAAAAGUUCAACUAUGAGUCGAACUGAGGCUCAGGCUAUGUGCCUUCGACAAUAAAAUUGCAAAGGUUCAACUACGGCUGAACAACAGUGUUGAACUAUAAUUAACAUCAAUAAAUCAACCACAGUAAUAUACUAUAAUUAACAUCAAUAAAUAUUAUUAGUUUUACCUCUACAUGUAUUACUUGAUAUUUGUUAGCCCUUCUUGAUUUAUACUUGCUGUUUAAUGGACCUUUACCUGCUUAAUUGAAGAUUAUUUACCCUUCUAUAGUCAUAUUACCCGUCCUAACUACUCGCCUUUAAGUAAAAAUCAAAAAUAUUAUAUCUCAUGUAAUUAAUUGGAUUUAAACAGAAAUAAGAUAGAUAUCUUAUGAUUUGUUGUUAUUUCCUUAAAUUGAAAUUAUUUGAUUCAUGUUGACUUCUUAUUAGUUGAACAACAGCUCAGGCUAUGUUCCUUUGCCCAAAAGUUCAACUAUGAGUUGAACUAGGACUCAGGCUAUGUGCCUUCAACAACAAGAAUUGCAAAGGUUCAACUACGGUUGAACAACAACACAGGCUACGUGCCCUCACCCAAAAGUUCAACUAUGAGUUGAACUGAGACUCAGGCUAUGUGCCUUCGACAAUAAAAUUGCAAAGAUUCAACUACGGCUGAACAACAGCUCAGGCUAUGUGCCUUCGACAACAAGAAUUGCAAAGGUUCAACUAUGGUUGAACAACAACUCAGGCUACGUUCCCUCGCCCAAAAGUUCAACUAAUAAGAUAAUUUAUCGGUUCACUACCUGCCGCUCUUUCCCUUGGAAUAGGAUCUGAUUUCCUGCAACAUCUCCUCCUACACCUCGCUCUCGCUCUCUCCUCUUGAAACAACACAGAUAUUUGGAUUUUAGCAAGUAAGAAGCCAUUUGUGCUAAGUUUUCUUCAAUUUGAGCUUUCAAAUUUGUUUUUUUUUAAAAAAAGAAAGAAAAUCAACUCUUUGUUAGUCUCGUUUAUAUAUUGCCUCGUUUAAACUUGAUUGAUUUUGUUUUUUUUUUUUUAAAAAAAAAGAAAGAAAAUCAACUCUUUGUUAGUCUCAUUUAUUUCUAAUAUUGCCUCGUUUAAACUUGAUCGAUUAAGCUUCUGUUAACAUUGUUUGUUGAAGUGUAAUGAUGGGUUUCACGCUAAGGCACUAUAUCCACUAAAAGUUGAAUCUUUUCUUUUUGCAAUGCUCUUUCUGUUUUUUUUUAAGAAAUAAAUUUCAUGUAGAGCAAGAUGAUGUUGCAUUUUUUUUCUUUAUCCAUUAAAUUUAUCUAGUGGUAUAUUACUGUGGUUGAUCUAUUGAUGUUAAUUAUAGUAUAAAAAUUGGUUGAUGUUUUGAAUUUUAGAAUCUAUCUAGUGGUAUAUUACUGUGGUUGAUUUAUUGAUGUUAAUUAAAGUAUAUUACUGUGGUUGAUUUAUUAAUGUUAAUUAUAGUUCAACACUAUUGUUCAGCCGUAGUUGAACCUUUGCAAUUUUAUUGUCGAAGGCACAUAGCCUGAGUCUCAGUUCAACUCAUAGUUGAACUUUUGGGGAGGGCACGUAGCCUGUGUUGUUGUUCAACCGUAGUUAAACCUUUGCAAUUCUUGUUGUUGAAGGCACAUAGCCUGAGUCCUAGUUUAACUCAUAGUUGAACUUUUGGGCAAAGGAACAUAGCCUGAGCUGUUGUUCAACUAAUAAGAAGUCAACAUGAAUCAAAUAAUUUCAAUUUAAGGAAAUAACAACAAAUCAUAAGAUAUCUAUCUUAUUUCUGUUUAAAUCCAAUUAAUUACAUGAGAUAUAAUAUUUUUGAUUUUUACUUAAAGGCGAGUAGUUAGGACGGGUAAUAUGACUAUAGAAGGGUAAAUAAUCUUCAAUUAAGCAGGUAAAGGUCCAUUAAACAGCAAGUAUAAAUCAAGAAGGGCUAACAAAUAUCAAGUAAUACAUGUAGAGGUAAAACUAAUAAUAUUUAUUGAUGUUAAUUAUAGUAUAUUACUGUGGUUGAUUUAUUGAUGUUAAUUAUAGUUCAACACUGUUGUUCAGCCGUAGUUGAACCUUUGCAAUUUUAUUGUCGAAGGCACAUAGCCUGAGCCUCAGUUCGACUCAUAGUUGAACUUUUGGGUGAGGGCACGUAGCCUGUGUUGUUGUUCAACCGUAGUUGAACCUUUGCAAUUCUUGUUGUUGAAGGCACAUAGCCUGAGUCCUAGUUCAACUCAUAGUUGAACUUUUGGGCAAAGGAACAUAGCCUGAGCUGUUGUUCAACUAAUAAGAAGUCAACAUGAAUCAAAUAAUUUCAAUUUAAGGAAAUAACAACAAAUCAUAAGAUAUCUAUCUUAUUUCUGUUUAAAUCCAAUUAAUUACAUGAGAUAUAAUAUUUUUGAUUUUUACUUAAAGGCGAGUAGCGUUCAAAUCCAAUUAAUUACAUGAGAUAUAAUAUUUUUGAUUUUUACUUAAAGGCGAGUAGUUAGGACGGGUAAUAUGACUAUAGAAGGGUAAAUAUCUUCAGUUAAGCAGGUAAAGGUCCAUUAAACAGCAAGUAUAAAUCAAGAAGGGCUAACAAAUAUCAAGUAAUACAUGUAGAGGUAAAACUAAUAAUAGGGAACUCAAUCGUAUCAAUAUCAUCUUCAUACUCGGAGAUUUCAAGGAUCUAGUAGCCUAAAAGGGACAAUUUACCACAAAUAAAUUCGAGCACGCACUCGUCACCUCGCGUANNNNNNNNNNNNNNNNNNNNNNNNNNNNNNNNNNNNNNNNNNNNNNNNNNNNNNNNNNNNNNNNNNNNNNNNNNNNNNNNNNNNNNNNNNNNNNNNNNNNNNNNNNNNNNNNNNNNNNNNNNNNNNNNNNNNNNNNNNNNNNNNNNNNNNNNNNNNNNNNNNNNNNNNNNNNNNNNNNNNNNNNNNNNNNNNNNNNNNNNNNNNNNNNNNNNNNNNNNNNNNNNNNNNNNNNNNNNNNNNNNNNNNNNNNNNNNNNNNNNNNNNNNNNNNNNNNNNNNNNNNNNNNNNNNNNNNNNNNNNNNNNNNNNNNNNNNNNNNNNNNNNNNNNNNNNNNNNNNUCGGUCUAUGAAGUUCUACCCAUUUUUCAUUCAAAAACUUAAAUUAAAAGAUGAAAUUAAGAGGAGAUUCAUGGAAGUUUGUCUAAAUCGAGUGAGAACGCUUACCCAAGUUGCACAAGUGAAAAUCCCUUCAAAAAUCGCCACGAACCGAGCUCUAGAGGUCAACAUGUGAAUAAAUGGUGAAAGCCUCGAAUUUGGGAAUUAAAUUUGUCUGCCCAGUGAUUUGUUCUAUGCGAUCGCAAGAGGAGGAAUGCGAUCGCAUAGAGUAAAGUUGGAAGCCAAGAAAAGAAGCCUAUGCGAUUGCAGGAAGGCUAAUGCGAUCGCAGAAGAGGGAGAAGUAUAACUAUACGAUCGCGAACAAGGCUAUGCGAUCGCAUAGAACGAAUUGGAGCCCUUCUGGAAAAAACUAUGCAUAGAUUCCCUAUUAUUGGGUUCAUUUAAGUUCACCUAAAAAUGAAUCCUAUAGCUUCUAGCACAACUCAAUAGAUAUUAUUACCACACUAGUGGAUUUACUAUUGAAAGAAGAACAUCCUACAUUCUCUCAUAACUAAUCAGAAAGUCAGACGACCUCCUUCACAUGACAUUUGUACAUAACUUCCCUGUUACUAACAUAGAUUGAGGCUUAUGGGAUGCAACUCAAAAAAAUUUAUUGUAGCAGGAUGACAUAUAUCCAUCGUAGUAUUGUUAAAAGUAUGUUAAGCAGAUCUUUCAUGAUGUGAGAGGAGAUUAGUUAGAUAAUUUAACUUAGUUACAUAAUCAAGAUGAUUAGUGAAUUUACUGAAGAUGUGGGUGCACAUAAUCAGCAAAUAUACACAAACAAAUAAAGAAGUAGUUGAGGAAGGCGGCGAUGAAAAUCAGAGGAACUUCUUAUCUACAUUCUCUUCUUCUUUGUUCUUCUUCCUCUUUUUUUCUCUCCCCUUCCCUCUUUCUUCUUCUCUUCUCCUUCAUUAACUUCCUAAUCUGAAUGUUUGUAUUUGUAAUUACUUCUUGAAAAUGGCUUACAUUUUAUUCAAUUAGAAUAGCAGCAAAAUUCAUUUCUCCUCCAUUUUGGGUUCAUAACAAGAUGGAAUCAGCUAGAAUCUAUUAUAUUUUCCUAGGAGUUCAAUUCAAGCCCCAUCUUGAUAUGAAGCCCAACUCUUGGUUCAAUCUUGGCUCCGUUAUUAGAAAAGUUUUACCAUGAUUUAAAGUGAAAAUUCUAAAAUUCAAAACAUCAACCAAUUUUUAUACUAUAAUUAACAUCAAUAGAUCAACCACAGUAAUAUACCACUAGAUAAAUUUAAUGGAUAAAGAAAAAAAAUGCAACAUCAUCUUGCUCUACAUGAAAUUUAUUUCUUAAGAAAAAACAGAAAGAGCAUUGCAAAAAGAAAAGAUUCAACUUUUAGUGGAUAUAGUGCCUUAGCGUGAAACCCAUCAUUACACUUCAACAAACAAUGUUAACAGAAGCUUAAUCAAUCAAGUUUAAACGAGGCAAUAUUAGAAAUAAAUGAGACUAACAAAGAGUUGAUUUUCUAAUCAAGUUUAAACGAGGCAAUAUAUAAACGAGACUAACAAAGAGUUGAUUUUCUUUCUUUUUUUAAAAAAAAACAAAUUUGAAAGCUCAAAUUGAAGAAAACUUAGCACAAAUGGCUUCUUACUUGCUAAAAUCCAAAUAUCUGUGUUGUUUCAAGAGGAGAGAGCGAGAGCGAGGUGUAGGAGGAGAUGUUGCAGGAAAUCAGAUCCUAUUCCAAGGGAAAGAGCGGCAGGUAGUGAACCGAUAAAUUAUCUUAUUAGUUGAACUUUUGGGCGAGGGAACGUAGCCUGAGUUGUUGUUCAACCAUAGUUGAACCUUUGCAAUUCUUGUUGUCGAAGGCACAUAGCCUGAGCUAGCGGAGGCGGCGUCCAUAAAUUUUAAUAUUCGAAGGGUGAUAUUUGGGGCAUUGGAAUGAGGAUAGGGAGAAGAUUCAAGGGUGUAAAUUUUGGAUUCAUCGGAGCAUCACCGCCGGUAAAGGUGAUUUUCGGACGGACGACGGAAGGCGGAAGGUAGUGGUGAUAUUAGGGCUAAUCUGUGUCGAUACCUGCG